AGCAUAUCAAUAAGCGGAGGAAAAGAAACUAACAAGGAUCCCCUAGUAACUGCGAGUGAAGAGGGAAAAGCUCAAAUUUAAAAUCUGGCGGGCUCUGCUCGUCCGAGUUGUAAUCUGGAGAAGCGUUUUCCGCGUCGGACCGUGCAUAAGUCUCCUGGAACGGAGCGUCAUAGAGGGUGAGAAUCCCGUCCAUGGCACGGACCGCCGAUGCUUUGUGAUACGUUUUCAAAGAGUCGAGUUGUUUGGGAAUGCAGCUCAAAACGGGUGGUAAAUUCCAUCUAAAGCUAAAUAUUGGCGAGAGACCGAUAGCGAACAAGUACCGUGAGGGAAAGAUGAAAAGCACUUUGGAAAGAGAGUUAAACAGUACGUGAAAUUGUUGAAAGGGAAACGCUUGAAGUCAGUCGCGUCCGACGGAACUCAGCCUUGCUUCGGCCUGGUGUACUUUCUGUCGGACGGGUCAACAUCAGUUUUGACCGGUGGAAAAAGGUAGGGGGAAUGUAGCGCCGCCUCGGUGGCGUGUUAUAGCCCCUUGCUGUAUGCAUCGGUCGGGACUGAGGACCGCAGCACGCCUUUUUGGCCGGGGGUUCGCCCUACGUACCGUGCUUAGGAUGUUGGCAUAAUGGCUUUAAGCGACCCGUCUUGAAACACGGACCAAGGAGUCCAACAUGCUUGCGAGUGUUCGGGUGGAAAACCCCUGCGCGUAAUGAAAGUAACAGUUGGGAACCUCCGCAAGGGGGUGCACCGACGCCCGGCCCUGAAGUUCUCUGACGGUGCUGCGGUAGAGCAAGUAUGCUGGGACCCGAAAGAUGGUGAACUAUGCCUGAAUAGGGCGAAGCCAGAGGAAACUCUGGUGGAGGCUCGUAGCGAUUCUGACGUGCAAAUCGAUCGUCAAAUUUGGGUAUAGGGGGCGAAAGACUAAUCGAACCAUCUAGUAGCUGGGUUCCUGCCGAG
rnacentral:rRNA from 1 species